CCCGCGCCCUCUGCGCUACCAUCAUCAAAUCCACCUUCCAGCCCCGCCUCCACCUCCCGCUCGCCGCUUCGCCGUCCCUCCUCACUGAUGUCCUCCACCGCCUCUCCCCGCUCCCCUCCGCCGCACUCGCCUUCUCCCGCACCCUGCCACCGCCGCACCUGCUCGAUGCCUCCCUCGCCCUCCUCCACCUCCUCGCGCCCCACCCGGCUGCUCGCUCCCUCCUCCGUGACCUCUCCCUCCGCCACCCGCUCUCCUCUCCGCUCCUCCUCCCCUCCCUCCUCGCCGACUCCCCCCCCCCCCGGUCCCCAGCUGGCUCCUCCUUGUCCUCUCCGACUCCGCCCGCCCCAUGACGCCGUCUUGGUGUUCGACCAACUGCGUGCGCGCGGUCUCGCGCCCACGCCUGCAUCGCUUUCGCCAAGCCCCGGAUGAUGGCCACCGCGUGUAGGGUGUUUGAUGAAAUGGUGCGGGCCAGGGUCACCAUGAACACGCACAUGUACAACUACAACACCAUGCUGCACAUGUGUCUGAAGGCUGGGGACACUGCGCGCGCGGAGGUGCUCAUGACCAGGAUGGACGCGGCUAGCGUGCCGUUGGAUAGGAAGCGGCGGGGGCACCCGACUCCCCGAGGCGCCGUGACGCCCCACGUGCAACCGCUGCCCAAGUGGUCUGGCUCACCGAGAGGCCCAGCCGCCCCAUGUUCCAGGAGCUCUGCCACCGCAUACCCCGUGUGCCGCUAACACCAUUCUUCUCCACCGACGCCAAGCAACGAGGGCGCGAGAUGGCAGAGCGCCUGAGGUUGCGUAGGGGCAAGUGCAGACGCCGAACGGCAUGGCCCGUGCCUGCCUCCUUUGACAGACUCUAGCCCACCUCUCUUGCCUUCUCUUGAGCAAGGACGGGAGCUGGCCAGCGUGGGCAGUAGCGAAUCUAGAUGAAGGGAGGCUACGACAGACGCCAAGCUUGCGGUGGUGCGGGUGUGGCUGGAGAAGGUAUUGUUGGACCACGAGUGGGCACCUGCAGGAGACGUACGGCAAGAAGCACCGCCAACUCAAAAGGGUGGUAGACGGAUCCAUGAAACCCUCCUAUGCCUCGCCACCAUUGAUCCCCGCCGAAUCCGGGAUGGCCUAUCUCAAAUGGAAGUCUGGUUUGUAAUCCUUCUCCUAUUCGUUCCAAACUCCUUAUGUUUCCAUUUUUCGUGUUCUGUGCUAUUCAUUUGGUCAUCGCGCGGUCACAGUAGUGGAGGCCAAUAUUGGCCUUAGGCUCUACGGCAACAGCGAAGAGAGUGGGGCGAUGUGGGGAAGAGAGUAAUUUGGGGAUAGGCGUGGCGCAGUUGGAGAGGGACGCCAUGGAGAAUGAUUUGGGGAUAGGCGUGGUGCAACUAGACCAAUAAAGCCUGAUGACAAAGGCGAGAAAAGUCUAAAAACAAGACUUUUGUUUAUAUAAUCAUGCUUCAUGGUAAAGUAUUCUAUUUGUACAGCAAAUUCGGCGCACGAUCAUGUUUCACAAUAGCCCACGGUCCUGACCUCGUGAGAUAUAAGCUGUUCAGUUUCCUGUAAAAAUUUUUAUUGUAAUUUCUUUCAAUGCCUGAGUGAAAUUACAUUUUGGACCAAUCUUCCUGGACCUUAAUAACAGUAUGCAAGCCACUGUCAACUCACCCAAGACUUUACUUUUUGUAGUUUUCUUUAGACUGUCAUCAACCUUGAUGACAUCACAUAAUGACUCCUGAUAUAGUGUAUUUUCACAACUUACCUGAAGUCAAAGCUUUACGUCAAAUCUGUCUUUAAAAGAAAUAUAGCAAGUACAAUAAAGUAUUCUGUUUGGCAAGUGAUCCUAAGUUGGUCAUAUCUAGAUCUUAUAGCACAUUGUUUUACUUUGUAGCAACUGCUAUUACAUUACAUUGUUUUAUUGUUAUGCUGUGAAAAGUAUACUUAGGUUGGUUUGACUUAAAAAAGUAAUGCUGGUAGAUGGCCAAAUGUAACAAAUUUAGGAUUGGGGGGAUUAUUGAUAUAUAGGAAAGACGAUCUGCAGGGGUUUAGGUUGAUCUUCUUCCAAUCCACUCUGGGAAUGGAUCUUUGUCAGUGCUAAUACCAUGUUUUGCUUGGGGGAGAUAUCAAAAUGAAAGUGUUUGUGCAAUCACACCCGGAUUGGGUCAGGUUCGUGGCCGAUCUUUGUCCAUCUAAAUAAGCCCUUAUAUCGAUAGACUAAUGUCACUGAUUGUUGUAUACAUUUCUCUCCGAAAGCUGCCCUUUGAUAAUUUAAUAUUGUUGUGGAUGUUACCUCAUGGAUUAAGCAAUGCUGAAGAGAAUUUAUGAUUUCUAACUUCCAAGUCUGGAAUUUGGAUUUAGUUCCUCUUACACUGGAGAUAAUAAUGCUAGCUGACUCUGGCCUGGAAACUGUGUAAAAAAUGAAAAUAAGAAGAUUUUAGAAGGAAAAAAGAUAACAAAAGAAUAGUACUGAAUUAUAUAAUGCAAUUGGGCAUACAUUAAAUUGUAAAUAUGAAGAGUUCACCUAUAUAGAUAAUCAAACUCAAGUAAUAGGCCAGUAUGUCCAGCUUUUUAAGCGUUGGAAUUUUUAUCUUAAUGUGACUCAUCUGCAUGUUCUGUGAAAUGCGUCCUUCCUAAUUUUUUAGGCCCUGUUUUAGAACUGAAAUUUUUCCUCAUAGCCAUUUUGCAAAUUAUGCUAUCUUCCUGGUACCUCCGCAUUCCUGUAUAUGUGUUCUUGGCGCUUUCUUACCUGAUAUAUUCAUUUACGUGCUAUUCUUGGUCUUCCUCUUUGUGAUCCUUCUAUGAAAACACCUGCAGCAAUAAUGUACAAAAUUCUGGGCGAGGAUGAGGUAAUUAAUAUUGUGUUCUUUUGUGUUGACUUAUAAUUACAUUUUGGACUAUUAAACAUUAAUAAUUAGGUUCACAUUGGCCUAUGUUGGCAGGUCUACAUGUUCUCAAAGUAAGUCAUAUUGUCAAUCAGUUUGGAAAACAAACAGAUAUACCAAUGCCUCGAAAAGAUCUCAGCUCCUCCUGGUAUGGACAAGGGCUCUUCAGUGGGAAGCUCUUCAGGUGGAGGGAAUGGCAGUGGGAUAAACAGUUUCGCUAUCGGAGCGAUGGUGAUAGCUGUGCUUCUUGCAGCUCUGAUUCUCUUAACUUGGGUGAGGUGCAGUCAUACAUUCUGGUCAAGAAAUCCUCAGAUAUCUCUUCAACAGUCCGUGAUGCUGAUGAUCAAGAGUUUCUUCGACUG